UUCUUGGUCUCUGUUUCUUUUAAGAAAUACAACUUAGUAGUGCCAGUACUUAAUCAUUCCAGUUAACAUUUGGUAAAAGUCCUAGCUACAGGAAGAAAGUAUUUUAAAAUCAAAAACAUUAUUUUUCAAUGUUCUGAGGAAUCUUGUCUUAAAUGCAAGUAAAUUAACUUUGCUUAAAUUUAUCACUGUGUUCUCAGGUUGUACCUGCCCAGCCUUUGGCACUGAGUGACCUCCUAGACCUUAACAGGCUGUUCU
rnacentral:lncRNA from 1 species